UCCCUCUCUUCCUUCCCCCAUAUCAACUUAGUCUUCAGAUCCUAUUAAUUCUUCCUUUCCAUUUAUCCCUCCCACUGCUAGGAUACAACCUAACUCAGGUCCUGUGACUGCCGAGGCCGUGUCUCAGAUCCUGAGCAUUACACAGCCCAGACCGACAUUCUUUUUCCUCCAAAUCACCCUUCCCCAAACUAUUACUCUUCUUAAAAUAAAUUUACUAUGUACUGAUUCAUUCUUUCUACAAAUAUUUACUCUGUGUGGCAUUCCUCUUCUAAAAAACAUUCGAUGGAUUGCCAUUAACUAUUGAGUUAGGUCCAAACUCUUUAGGUUCAUAUUUCAGGUUCCAAAUAACAUCCACAUUUUCAACUGUACCUCUUCAGAUUCACUUAGCUGAACUCUGGGCUCCAGCCAGACGGCCACUUCAUGACUGUUUCAUUGUGUGCAUCCGCGUUUCUGUGCAUGCCACACCUCCUCCUGAAAUGUCCUCUUCCACUCUCUCCAUCUGGUGACACCGUGCCCAUCUCUGUAGGUUCAUCUGUGGUCUCCCACUUCCCUUGGAUGUCAUCCUUGGAUAAUUAAGGAUGACACUCUUAGAUGUCAUCUCUACCUUAUGACUAUCAUUUAACACUCCUACCCACGUGGCUUAAAGACUGGCUUUGUGAAAAAAAGAAACAAAACCCACCAAUUUUCCUGGCACGUUGGUUUAAUAGAAAUUCUAGUUUAGCAGAGGGAAUGUAAUUGCCAAGAACGUGAAGCAACGCGAAGUGGGGUUCUGCGCCCGUCUCCCUUGUCAGUCCCACUGCCCUCUUGGACCCGACUCCUAUUUACCAGCUGCUCUUAGACAAUCUUGAUUCUUCACUCCUGACCUUCUAUGUUGUAAUAGUACAACCUCAGCUAUGGAUCAGACAACUUUUAGAGAGAAGAACCUGGAUUAAGUGAAAUAACAAGUAUGAAAGUACUUAGAACAAUGCUGCAAUAUAGUAAUCGCUCAAAACAUACUCGCUUCCCUUAGAGAAAAUCUAUUUCCCUUUAAAAAUCAGGCAACCAAGUUUGGAAAGUUUGAGAUGUAUUUAAUGUCACAGAUCAAGUUAGAGGCAACAGUAGCUCCAAAACAUUAAUGUUCACAUUUCAAUAAAAAGGAAAAACUCUAGAGUAAC
rnacentral:lncRNA from 1 species